CCGCCCUUUACGGAAAUGUACUUAAUUUGCUUCAUAACAACUCUAUAUAAAAGGCCUUGAAAGGUUCACCUAUGAAUCAAGGCAUCUUGAAUCAACAUUCAACAUCCCUCCGUCUAUCUUUCUGUUUCACACGCGUGCACGUACACACACAAAAAUCAAGAUGGAGGGAUCUAGACGUGUGUUUUCAACUGUCUUCAUCCUCGUCCUGCUCCUUGUGGCUAUUGGUAUCUCUCUCUUUCCUCAUUUUAAUUUUAUUUUUAUAUUUGAUUAGUGGUAUAUUUCUUUCCAAUGCUAGAAGAUGUUUCAAGUUUGAAUCCACCUUCUCUCGUUAAUUUUUAUAUAUGAAUGUUUGGCAGGGACGGGUCCAAUGGUUGCUGAGGGCAAGGUCACAACAAAGGUGGAGUCAAGGACUUGUGAGUCUCUGAGCACGAAAUUCAAGGGAUUUUGCUUACGAUCAAGCAGCUGUGCAGAUGCUUGCCAAAAAGAGGGCUUCAUGGGAGGCAAAUGUCCUGGCUUCAGGCUGAGAUGUACAUGCACUAAGAAAUGUUAGUGAUAUAACACACUAACUUAUUUUGGUGCAUGGGAUUGAGAAGAUUGAAAAUUUAUUGCCCUUUUUUUGUUUUGUUUAAAAGAAUAAAUGACUAACCCUAAUAUAAAUUUUGGGGUUGUGUCCUUGUUUUUGUUCUUAUGUUAUUUUGUAAUCAAUUUUUUUUAAAAUAAUAUUGUUCUUUUUUUAAUGUAAUGAUACUUUUUUUUUUCUCUAUACAAAUAUGAUCUUUCUAGCAUUACUUUAAACUUUUUAUCAAUGUAUAAUGUUGAUUAUACU
rnacentral:lncRNA from 1 species